rnacentral:rRNA from 1 species
CCUACGGGAGGCAGCAGUGAGGAAUAUUGGUCAAUGGGCGGAAGCCUGAACCAGCCAAGUAGCGUGCGGGAUGAAGGCCCUACGGGUCGUAAACCGCUUUUGCACGGGGAUAACACCCUCCACUUGUGGAGGUCUGCAGGUACCGUACGAAUAAGGGCCGGCUAAUUCCGUGCCAGCAGCCGCGGUAAUACGGAAGGCCCGAGCGUUAUCCGGUUUCAUUGGGCUUAAAGGGAGCGUAGGCGGGCGUUCAAGUCAGCUGUAAAAUCGCGCGGCUCAACCGCGCCCCGCAGUUGAACCUGGACGCAUUGAGUUCACAACAGGCAGGCGGAAUUCGUGGUGUAGCGGUGAAAUGCAUAGAUAUCACGAGGAACCCCGAUUGCGAAGGCAGCCUGCCGGGGUGUGACUGACGCUGAGGCUCGAAGGUGCGGGUAUCAAACAGGAUUAGAUACCCGUGUAGUC